rnacentral:tRNA from 1 species
CGGGAUGUAGCUCAGUUGGUAGAGCGCACGGUUCGGGACCGUGAGGUCGUGGGUUCGAGUCCCCCCAUCCCGA